rnacentral:tRNA from 1 species
GAAGGUAUAGUUCAGUGGUAGAGUGCCUGCUUAGUAUGUAUGAGGUCCUGGGUUCAAUCCCCAGUACCUCCA